rnacentral:rRNA from 1 species
AUUGAACGCUGGCGGCAGGCCUAACACAUGCAAGUCGAGCGGAGAGGCGGACGGGUGAGUAAUGCCUAGGAAUCUGCCUGGUAGUGGGGGAUAACGUCCGGAAACGGGCGCUAAUACCGCAUACUAUCAGAUGAGCCUAGGUCGGAGUAGCUAGUUGGGGGGGUAAAGGCCUACCAAGGCGACGAUCCGUAACUGGUCGGAGAGGAUGAUCAGUCAACCUGGAACUGAGCCACGCUCCAGACUCCUCCGGUAGGCAGCGGUGGGGAACAUUGGCCAAUGGGCGAAUGCCUGCUCCAGCCCUGCCGCUUGUGUGAAGAAGGUCUUCGGAUUUUAAAGCCCUUUAAGUUGGGAGGCGUUACCAACAGAAUAAGCACCGGCUAACUUCGUGCCAGCAGCCGCGGUAAUAC